CAUGACUUGCUGUUUAGUUAAUUGGAUAUUCUUCCUUAACAUAUGCAGGUUUUUCUGUGUUGAAAUGAGACUGAACAUAGUGGAACAAAAACAAAUUUCAUGUGAAAAAUGCGGUCCAAGUGUUUGGAAUUGCAGCAAGAUUUCUUUUUGAAAGCUUAAAUGUCGGGAAGCAAAGUGUUGUUAACGUAUAAGCGAAAGCGGCAAUCAAGAACAGAUCCUGUACAGGGACAUGAGUGCCGUAAUUCACUUUUUGUUGCUCCCGAUGAUACUUCUUUAAGCAAACCACCAGACUUGCAAGUUCAUUUGAUUGAUAGGCGUUCAUCAGAACGUUACAACUAAAUUCUGUGGUGAGAUUUUAGAAAGUUGGAACCUGUUCACUUUUUUUUAGUUUGUUUCAUAGGGAUAUAUGUUGUAUGUCAAUCAUCUUUAUGUACAUAAUUUAAUAAUCCAUCCUUCCCUAUUUUUCCACUGAAGUUAUGGUCUAGAAGAAUGUUAGAAGACUUGAAGAUGGGGGAUUGAAGCUGCAGAGUGCAUAUAUGAUAUUGCUCCGGCAACUUCACAGGCGAUCCUGAAGCGAUGUUCCCACGAAAGUGAUGGUGUUUCAAUGUGCUUCUGCUGGUUACAGUAUCGCCGUGGGGCUAUACUGUAUAAAUAGAAAUUUUAAAGUAUCGCCGCGCGUCUAUACUCUAGAAACUAUAUUGUAUAAAUAGAAAUUUAGAGUAUAGCCGCCCGGCUAUACGAUAUAAAUAGAAAAUUUUCAAGUAGAGCCUCGCGGCUAUACCCCAUAAAUAGAAAUUAUAAGAGUAUAGCCACUAUACUCCCUAAAUACAAUAUAUUAACAGUA
rnacentral:lncRNA from 1 species